rnacentral:rRNA from 1 species
UGGGGAAUAUUGGACAAUGGGCGCAAGCCUGAUCCAGCAAUGCCGCGUGUGUGAAGAAGGCCUUCGGGUUGUAAAGCACUUUUGUUAGGGAGGAAAGUCUGGUAGCUAAUAACUGCUAGAUCUGACGUUACCUAAAGAAUCAGCACCGGCUAACUCUGUGCCAGCAGCCGCGGUAAUACAGAGGGUGCAAGCGUUAAUCGGAAUUACUGGGCGUAAAGGGUCUGUAGGCGGAUUAUUAAGUCGGAUGUGAAAUCCCCGGGCUCAACCUGGGAACGGCAUUCGAUACUGGUAGUCUAGAGUGUGCAAGAGGAUGGGGGAAUUCCUGGUGUAGCAGUGAAAUGCGUAGAGAUCAGGAGGAACAUCAAUGGCGAAGGCACCUUUCUGG